rnacentral:rRNA from 1 species
GACGAACGCUGGCGGCGUGCUUAACACAUGCAAGUCGAACGAAGAGCGAUGGAAGCUUGCUUCUAUCAAUCUUAGUGGCGAACGGGUGAGUAACGCGUAAUCAACCUGCCCUUCAGAGGGGGACAACAGUUGGAAACGACUGCUAAUACCGCAUACGAUCUAAUCUCGGCAUCGAGGAUAGAUGAAAGGUGGCCUCUACAUGUAAGCUAUCACUGAAGGAGGGGAUUGCGUCUGAUUAGCUAGUUGGAGGGGUAACGGCCCACCAAGGCGAUGAUCAGUAGCCGGUCUGAGAGGAUGAACGGCCACAUUGGGACUGAGACACGGCCCAGACUCCUACGGGAGGCAGCAGUGGGGAAUCUUCCGCAAUGGACGAAAGUCUGACGGAGCAACGCCGCGUGAGUGAUGACGGCCUUCGGGUUGUAAAGCUCUGUUAAUCGGGACGAAAGGCCUUCUUGCGAAUAGUGAGAAGGAUUGACGGUACCGGAAUAGGAAGCCACGGCUAACUACGUG